CACUGCCCCUGGAGGGAGACAGUCAGAGGUGAGGCUGAUGUUGCAUCAGAGUGCUAAGCCCUGGAUCAAAUGUUGGGGGCACAGCAGGGAGAGGUCUGAUCCCUCCUCCUGAGCAGCUCGGCCCAUCAUUGGCCUUCCCAGACCAGAGGCGGCACAGGAAAUGUUUCGGGGUCAAAUAAGCUGAGAAAGGAAAGCAGAACAGCUGGAAGGACCAGAGGACAGGGGAAUUUCCCCCUCCUACACUCAAGCAGCCAAAAGGCAGCCACUGGAGACGGUAUCUUCAGGCUGAGAAGGGCUCCCAGAGGGUCCUCAGUCAGAGCACGCGCACCAUGCUGCCCUGCCUCACCCUGCUUCUCCUGAUAGGGCCAUCCGCAUGCAACACAACAGGUGACAGUGGAGAGGAACUGGCACUCAGCGCCGAAGCAGGGCCCUGGGUGACUCUGAUCCUAGAGGAGGUUGCUGUCCCCAGCAUUCAGCUCCAGCUGCAGGAGGGGAAGAGGAGCAAGGCAAACCAGUUCUUUGGGCUGAUGGGGAAGCAGGUGGAAGGAAUACCUCCCAUCCAGCCAGAGAGAGCAGGUCCCAGCUUUGGCUCCGGUCCUGCCCUUCACUGGUAUCCACGACAGUGGUUCUCUGUUGCCUCUCUCUUCUCUCCCUCAUCUUUCUCCCUCACCAGGGUAUAAGCUGGGACAAAUGGUCCAGGCCCUCCUGGGCAGGAGGGGAUCAUCCAUGGAAGGCACAGAGGAUGAGGACCCAGGUUCAGAGUGAGAGCCCCCAGAGGAUGCAAGACCUCUUCCCUGGAUCUCACUGCUGACUCUCUCCUCCCGGGUCUUCGGUCCUGCAUGCUGGCAAUCUACACCAGCCCUGCACUGAACUCACUGGGCUUCUUCCAGGACUCUCAGUGACAAGCUGUGGUACACAGAUGCACUGUGGUCACCCUGAUGAGCAGGAGUGGCCCUGCCCUCCCCCACAUGUUGGGCAUCACCAGAGCUAGCUUCACAGCACACAAGCAGGGACUCAAUAAAUAAAUGAAUGACCACUGAA